AUAAAAUUGACCUCUACUUAAACUGUUAAUCGUGGAGAAACGAAAAGAAAAGCGAGCAAGUGGGCAUGCCACCCAAGAAAAAGGGUUCGGCGGACCGUCAGGACUCAGGGGCCACUGAGGAGAAGGAGAAGAAUGCCCAAGUCCAGCUGGAGAAGGCCAAGGUAGAUUGCAACUCCAUAAUUCUCUCAGCUGCCCAUUCCUGCUACCAGUGACGUUGGCCACAAGGACCGAAAUAUAUCACAGCUUUAGAUGUACUCAUAAAUUUUGCAUGGCUCUUUUUCCUCUGUCAAAGUAACAAGGUAGCCGUGUCAAAAAGCUAAUCACCAAAUGCCUUGGUUGAAACAGCACAUCAGUGUUAAAUCUUGUACUCUACAAAAGCAAUGCUCUACAUGCAACUGACAAACAAUAGCUACAAUUACCUUUUCUUCUGUUCCUUUGCACACUCCAAAAACAGAUAAGAAGCACCAUGGCAAACCAUGAAUGAGCAACAAACAACAAACACUUGGUGUUUUAUCAUCGGCACUUUACAGUCCAGUUUUGCUCGGCUUUUAAAAACUGAAUGAAACCCCCCUAACUGUGUCAGUGAGCUCCCUGAGGUCCUUUUUAAUUAAGGUACUGAGCAGACAGCAUCAUGUCCUGCUUCAGUCCACCAUCUCCCACAGAGCAUCACCUUUAAAAACCAGGCUAUAAGCAGCUAGACUGCUAUUGUGUUGACAUUUUACUAUCUUUUAGUUAAAUACCAAAUUAUAAUACAAUAAAUUAAUAGAACAAAGUGAUUUAUUUAUUAUUGUGUUACUAGGCAGUAUUUUUGAAUAUGGAAAACUGGAUUAUUGUUUUUUUUUUAAAGUUAGAAACAGGUUAUACAUUGUGAAAUAGAGUAAGCUAAUGUUCUCAAACUUUUUUAAGGCUCAG
rnacentral:lncRNA from 1 species